AUGGCCAACGGUUUAACAGGGGUUGAUCUUGCUCGCUGUUGGAUAUCAUGGAGCAUAUUGCCUCUUAGUCUGCACUCCGGUUUGAUGUGCCAGUAUACUGAUCGUGUUGAUGACCCACUGCGACACUCAAGACUCCAGCUCUCUGGUGAAGAAAUCACAGAAGCUGUGCGUAAGAUACUAAAUGAACCGGAACACAUCUGCGCCAAAACCGGCCUGCUUCCCUUUUGUGCCACCAACAAACCGCCAGCUGGCGAUGAUCCGUUUUGGAGCAAAAAAUUGCCACAGGAGAAGCCAGAAAAACCAGACAAACCGGAAAGAGCAGCCCGGCAAAAGACUAAAGCUGUGAAGAAGACUGCCCAUAGGAAAAGAACCACUGCCUCUUCUAAUCCAGCUCCUGACGAUGAGGAUGAUGUCGAAGCCAGCCACGCGGAUGUUGCCGAGGUAAUUAUUCUCUCUUUCGAUUCAGAAACCUUGCCUUCACAAAAAAUCCGUCAGGCAAACCGGAAAGUUAAAUUUUCUCAUCCUCUUGAUUAUUUGGAUCCUAAACUUCUUAUGAAGACCCAACAACACGAAGCUCACCGCACCACCCGGCACAGCGGCCAGGUAGUUACCUCCGCCGGUUUACCGAACAGUCCGGUUCGGAAGCGCCAUUCUGAGGUUACUUCCCACUCAUCUUCUGGCGAGUCAUCGGCUACUCAGCUCCCACCGCUCAAAACGUGUUUGGGGCCAAACCUAGGCCAAGCAAGAAGGCCCGCCUGGACAAAGCGGCCGAAGAGGAUGUCGUUCUUGAAGCGGACAAGACACCCAACGCUGAAGCGGCUAUUCCUGUGGAUAUUCCCAACGAUCCACCGCAACAAGAUGAUGAUCUUAUUGCAGAAGAGAGACCCACUGACACCUCAGAUCCUACCCAUCAGCCUACAGGUUCCAUCCGGAUUGAAAGCUCCACCGGUCCAGCAAAGCCUAUUGACAAGCCAACAGCUCCAGUGCAAACCGGCUGUACCAAAGAUGAUGAGGUUGUCAUUACUGGUACUGGCCAUACUGAGCCAAACAAUCCUGUCGCUUUAUCCAAACAUUCUGCCAAGGAAGAACUUGCUGCCUUUGGUAAAGGCAAGUGGAACGCUGAUCUGA
rnacentral:rRNA from 1 species